rnacentral:rRNA from 1 species
GAUGAACGCUGGCGGCGUGCCUAAUACAUGCAAGUCGAGCGAACGGACGAGAAGCUUGCUUCUCUGAUGUUAGCGGCGGACGGGUGAGUAACACGUGGAUAACCUACCUAUAAGACUGGGAUAACUUCGGGAAACCGGAGCUAAUACCGGAUAAUAUUUUGAACCGCAUGGUUCAAAAGUGAAAGACGCUCUUGCUGUCACUUAUAGAUGGAUCCGCGCUGCAUUAGCUAGUUGGUAAGGUAACGGCUUACCAAGGCAACGAUGCAUAGCCGACCUGGAAGGGUGAUCGGCCACACUGGAACUGAGACACGGUCCAGACUCCUACGGGAGGCAGCAGAAGGGAAUCUUCCGCAAUGGGCGAAAGCCUGACGGAGCAACGCCGCGUGAGGGAUGAAGGUCUUCGGAUCGUAAAACUCUGUUAUUAGGGAAGAACAUAUGUGUAAGUAACUGUGCACAUCUUGACGGUACCUAAUCAGAAAGCCACGGCUAACUACGUG